rnacentral:lncRNA from 1 species
ACCGGCAGUCUUGCGCGGGCUGUCGUUCGCGACGCAUGCAGUUCCGCGUUCGUUCGCACGUUUGCCCGUUCGUUUGUCCGUUCUCUACCGCCGAUCAUACGAUCGCUAUUGUAAAACGAGCACCACGCGAUUCUCGAUCCGACGAUGAUCAACUGCAUCUUCUUCGUGGUGUCAAGCGAGCAGCUGCGGUUCUGAUCGAGGGCAGCCGGAAGGAGAGCGCAACGGACGGAAAAAUGGAUUCUCACGACGGUAGCGCGAGGUUCCCCCUUCGCGAACCGCCGCUAGAUUUACGUGGGACGCCACGAGCCAUAAUCACGGCAGGUGGGUAGAACCGAACAGGUAUUUGGAGCGCAUAGCCAUGCAGCACCGAUGCUGCAGUGCGCGUAAAAACGUUAGCGAGCGAGCGAGCUGUCGAACGAGUCGACGCGCGAGUUUGCGCAACGGCAAGUAUCUAGCAAAUGAAAUUAACGACGAUUAGGUCAGAAGGUCACCUACUUAGUGUAGACCAGGGUCACGCGGCGACCAGAUCAGAAGUUACAUCACGUGUCUUCACUGUGCGUGACAUGCAGGGCGUUUGCAUAGCUCGUAAAUACGAUCCCACCACCCAUAUUAAGCUGGACCCCCCACCAACCCCAAAACAAUUCGGACCUAUCAGAAAAUUUGGUGCUAAUUAUGUGCUAAUUAGUUGCUCUAUUCCCGAUUUUGUUGCUCGAACCGUUUUGCAGGAAAUUGCAAUCAAAAUGGGGGGGGGGGUCCAGCUUAAUGUUAAGCUGGACCCCCCCAUACUGAAAAAUCUAUAUAGAGUGCCGGAAUCGAAAAAACAACUACACUGGAAUUUGUUGUUAUUUUGUUGCUCUAAGAUAGUAUAAAUUAAUUAUAAAAAUGGUUAUGCGUGUUUUCCGCAUUAUACCUUGUUCAAGAAUUGUUAAGAUUCCGUUGGUUCAUCGAGUUCGAUCAGAAGACAAAUUAUAGUGAAUUGCUUGAGAAUUUAUUGAGGUAUUCUUGUUUCUAAGAAGUUGCAAAAGAUCAAAACUUUUGAGAUAUAAAGUUCGUUUGUUGCUGUAAACUUAAGAACUUUCUCGGACCGAUUCCGCAUAAACGCGGCGAAUUCUCCUAAUACUCAUCAGCGACGAUUAAAUGACGCGUCAUCGGUCAUCUCGGAAGGCAAUUCGCUUGAAGAUGACGGAAGCAUUGCUCUUGGUGGAGCGCUACUGUAAUUUAUUGGAAUGCGGGUACAUUUCGACAAAUGCGUCUCGGCAAAAGAUAAUGUAUAAAACUCUUUUACAAAACGUAGAAACAAAUAAAUUUUAUACACGCACUAUUAUACACGGAUUUAUGAAUAAGAGAUAGAUCUUUAAAGUAUUUUUUAAAGUUACGAUAACAUUUUAUUAGAGAAAUCCUAGUAUGUAUAGGAAUGUAAUUUACACCUCUGUAUAGCUUUUCUCUCACGAAUAGAAUAGCCAGUUGACAGAAUAGUCUAUUUUUCCUUGCAAAAUACUUCAUCUGUCUGAAAGAGCAUUUCUCCCUUCCCGCUGAUUCCGACGCAUCUUAUCUUCACGAACUAAUUGCCAGCGAGACGUACCGCGAUUGGGAUCAGACGUUCGUUGAAUGUAGUAGCAUGAUAAAACUCAGUGAUGGAGAGUGCGAAAAGGACCCGCUGGGAGGAGGGGAUUACGUUAUAAGACGGAGAGAAAAAGAGAGAAAGAGAGAGGGGUCAGUCGCGGAAUAAGAUCGAGAGGAUUGGUGGCGGAAUGGAGCGGAAUAGCAUGGCAUGGCAUGGGACGCGGUCAGUUCGCAUUGAAUCGCCGAAUUGGACGCAUCUCGUCGGACGAUCCUCGGCGGCGUCUCUCGCUCGCCCGGAGAAAACUGAUCAUCGUGGCGAUUUGUCGUGCGGAUUUUCUUUUUGCCGAUUCCAAAUCUCGUCUUCUCUUCGAACACGGACGGCGCCGCGCUCGCAGGAGGCGAAAAUUGGAUACCUAUGUGCAGGUGCGCCCCUCGCGAUUCUUCUCACGUCAACCUUCGCGACUUGCAUGUCGACGACGUGUAUUCUGUUGAACUUUUGACAAUCUCUCGCCGGAAUCGCGACCAGUUACCCUUUCUUGAUGAUGAUUUUCUUGAGGCGGCGAUACGCGUGUACCUUGUGUGUUCGUGACAAAAACGAGCGGGAACCGUGUCGAGUCCGGCGAUUCCGACGAGAGACAUAAUUGGAUUAAGACCCGCAUGGUAGCGACAAAAAUAUCAAAUGCUAGAGCUUCCGCGCUUCUGCUGCUGUAAUAAAAUUCAAUUAGACACAAUAUAUAGUGCUUAUAAUUCGUCAUGAUUGUAAUUUUCUUGAGAGACUUAGGAUUAUAUUGAAAGGCUUCAGAAUGCAUCGCAAUGAAGGAUGAUAUUUUACUUAUUUUACUAAAUACCAACAAUAAUUUACGCUUGUCUGGAAUUGAUUCUUAUAGAAAUUGAAAAUAUUGAAUUGUAACAUAUAUUCUUAUUUAAAAACACUAAGCAAACGGGAGAAACAUGUGUCACAACAAUAUUUCGAAUUACCGCAAAUGUCGAUGAUCUUGCGACUUACUUGUCGCGCUCGAACAGUUUUGUCAUUCUCCUUAUGAUUUUCUGCAGAAUGCAUGUAACGGUACAAGUGUAACACCGUGGCAAAGAGGAAACGAAUGCUCAUCUGUGUCGAAACAAAGCAUGCUUAAAUUCAAUCUCGCGUGCGUUCCAGUAAAUCCGUUAAGCGAACCCAUUUCCUUGGGAAACGAUCUUUACGCUUACGCUUAUAAGCAAUCAUCAAUAUUUAAUACUAAAUAUAAAAAAAUAUUUAAUCAAGCUAUUAAAAGAGUUUAAUUAUAAACUUAUCUUAAAUAUAAAAAUUAUAAAUUAUAACGAAAACAAACGCGAAUAAAAUUUGAAAUAAUUUCUAUGAAACAGAAACGACUAUCUUAUCACUUUAAUUAAUUAAAAAAGAACAAUUAUCCUAUCGAGUUAACUAUUUUGGAAUGAUGCUCAACUCGUUAUAACUGAAUAUAACAAUUUGUCCAUUUUGGCAAACAUUCUAACGCUGCGGCUAAAAAUUGGCUGUUUCAAUUUCUGUAAAAAUUUCAUCGAGUUCUCGGACAUCGCGCACAGGCUGUCUCUCCAUACAUAGCCACGCGACCUGGUCGUCGUGCUGAUCGUCGUCGCGUGUCAUCGCACGGCACGUGCCGAUGCACUCGCGCAACGACGACGACGACGAUAAUGACAACGAUGACGAUGAUCUGUCCACAAAGUUCGACGAACCUCGCGCAUCUUUCUUCAUGAAAAGCAAAAUGCAAUGAGAUCCACUCCGAUCGUGCUCGAUCGCGUCGCCCGCGAUCUGAACAAACGCGCACCUGUCCGCGCGAGCCAAUUUUACGAGCGGCCGAGCGAAGGCAGAUCACUGUCGAAGAUAGGCUAGAUAUAAUAAAGGUUGGCGAUCCGUUUGAACGAGCGCGAGAAGCGCGGCUCGCGGGUUCGCGGCGCGUGUGGGCUGUGCGGUUCUAAAGCUAUCUCCACACUGCCCAUGAAAAGUUCCGAUAGAGUAAAAGAUAUGUAAUUGAAAAUAUAUUAUGUAAUACUAGUGUAGUGUAUGCCAGAAAUAUAUGAACUAUUUUUAUGCGAUCCGUAUGAUCAAAUAUUUAAAAUCUCAAUUAUUUUCAUAGAAUGAAUUGAGUUAAAAUUUGAUCACUGAAAAUAUUUAAGUAGAAACGCGUUCAGGGAGAAGGACACUGUUAAACGUCAAGUUUUUGUUUUCGUUAUUUAAUGUGUUACUACUUUUAAUAACGCGAUUACACGCGAAAGUAAAUUUAGAUUUACAUUUUAUCUUUCAUUAUAAGUUUCGCAUUUCAUUUCUAUUCUCUAAUAAAAAUAUACGCUUAAUGUACUGCGGAAUGAACUCGGAUUCGAAGAGCGAUCGAAAAGAGUUAUUGCUGUUAUGCGCGCGAGUUUACCUGUGCGAUGUGAAGCCAGUGUAACACGCGGCUCGCUGUUAUUGACGCUGCAUUUGCUGCCGCUGUGCACCGGCGAAGUGUAGGCAAAGUGUAGGCAAAAGACCUAUCACCGCCACACCCUGCGGCUAAAAGCGAAAAGCGGAGAACGACGGCAACGACGAUGGCGAGGACGAUGACGACAACUCGCCGCGCCGCUGAUAACGCGAGCAAUAACGAUCAGCCCGAUGCAUCUCCGGCAAUCUCGCUCGAUGUAGCGCGGAUUGCCUUUUUAGCGCGCCAUCGGUGAAAUUGGUAUGCGAUUGCUUAAUACACGCGCACGCACACACGCACGCCCGCGUAUAACAUAGUAAUAGUUUCAAGGCAACUUCCUUGGACCGUUGAACCCGUGAAUUCUAGGACACAUUCAGGUUCAAAACGUUUUUGCUUGGAGACUUUGAUCCCUUGAAAAUCUCGGAUUUUUAAGUAGUUUUUUAUGUUCCAACAUCUUGAAUUUUGACGUCCUUAUCUUCCCAUUUUAGUAUUUUUCACAUUUUUUCAUUCCCAACUUCUCUCAAAUUCUUAUACUUGAGAUUAUCAGAGUUUUGAAGUUAAGUUCUGAUAUCUCGGUUUUUUAUAUGAGUUAAAUCUUUAAUAAAUUUUUAAUUUCUUCAUUUAAAAUCUUAGCGUUUCAGGUAUCCUCUUUUAUAUGUGAAAUUUUUAAAUCCUUACUUUAUAUUAAUCUCUCUGGAAUAAAAAUGUAACAUUAAUUGUUGGACGAUAAAUGUUAAUGUGUACUGAAACAUUGAGAGGACAUUGAUGGCCACGCGUUAGCGAUUACGGUUCUUCCCUCUAACGCGCGAAGACGAUGGGAGAGAAAGAGAGAGAGAGACAGAAAGAGAUAUUGCAAUUAGUAUAAUUUUGGCGUAACGCCUGAUUGCGACGUUACGGUGUGCCAUGAACGACCGUAAAAUGUGCGGCGCGCGUCCAGCGUCGUAAAUAUCGGCGAAACACGAAAAUACACCGGCUCGUCCCGUUAUCGUUGCCGCGGCGCAUCGCAAAGCGGUAUCCUUUAUGCACUUUCGCGCGGCCGAUCGGUCGUCGCGCGACGCCGCACCCGAUAUCUCCAUCAAUUUUUACAGCAAUUGCGAAUGGAUCAUCGGCAGCCAAUGAUCCAUUCCGUAGGAAUUCCAAUUCCCGCGUCCGUGUCGUCGAGAGAAACACGCGACGCGAUCUUCACUAAGUAGGCAGGCAAGACGUGCGUGAGCACGUAUACUGGGUGUCGCAUGAUGCACAAGAAGCUAUUAAUGAAAAUUCGGGGAUUCCUAAAAUGAUCCAUUUAGAAAACAUAUAAAGAUAAAUAGUCUAGAGAAAGGCUGAAGUUUUUACCUGGAUAUAAUUAAAGAGAGACCAGCAAUUUAGAAUCACAAAAGAAUUUAAUAAUAAUUAUUUUAGAAAGAUCUUUUUAUGCAUAUGUCUCAUAGGUAUUUAUUCCCAAAAUGCCAUCGAGUAUGCGCGCUGUAUGCGUUACAGAAAGAUCGAGCCUUCAAUCGAAAUCCAAGAAA